AAACAAGAAGAAUGGGAUUGAUAUUUCCGCAGGAAGUUUGGAAGUUAUGUAACAAAGAGCAGGUUGAGAUCCUACCUUUUACGAGCAGCCUGCCCCUUUUGAAGGGGUAAAGGGAAUGGGUGCAGUGCCCUCUCUCCUUCUGUUGUAGUGGCUUAUCCCUCUAAGGCAUGACCCUUGGAUAGGGGUUACCUGCCUCGAAAAGUCCCCACUUCCUUGUGGGAGUUUAAAAUAGAUUGGCAUAUGUGAGAGAUGGAGACAAGGUGGGAAAUCGGAUCCUGUCUUAGGAUUUCUCAUCAGGAGAUGCUGGUACUUGGUGUUUCAGCUUGAUAAAUUGAGAAGGUGCCGUGAAACCAGGUCCUGGAACAGAAUCUCUGGUUGCUCUGUCUUUUAGCUGCUCUGACCCUCUGCCCUGCAGAGCAUGCAUUUUGCAUGUGCCUGGCAGGAGGCCCUCCUGCUUCAGCCCUGCUGUGUUUGUCUGUGUUGACAACAUGACUGCUCAGCCACUAAAUUUGGUCACUCCACAGACACACUAGGAAAGCAGAGGCAGCUCAUGGUUUCUCUGGAACAGAGCUGCAAGAAGUCUCUGGGCAUCUGCAUGGCCAGGAGCUUAUGCUUAACUGUUGAGUGACCUGCAGCCAUAAGGGCAUUAAUUCUGCCUUCCAGAGGUGGGAAUGACUUGGCUUUAAACAGUGAUUUGUGUUAGAAUUCUUCAAAUCCCAUUAGGUAGAAGCAUGGUGGAGUAGAGGAGAAAUCUUAGCUCAUAUCUGCUUCUUCCAUUGACCAGCUGUGUGACCUUGGGCCUGUUACUUUUAACCUACCUGACCCUCCAUUUCCUCAUUUAUCAGAAGUGUCUAACUGUACACAAGUUAAACUGUAAGGAUUACAUGAGGUAGUAGUCAAUCCUGGUGUUUCUCUGUAUCUUCUCACCUCUUACUGUGUUGGAAAUAUGAUCUUGCGACCCUGGAUGGCAGCCACUCUGGGGCAGGAGAGACAGUCACCACCUUCUGAAGGGCUCAAAGGAGAAUAUUGCCCCACAGGGCUUAGUGGGUACCCCAGGCUGAGGCUGGGGAGGAGGGCCACUUUUGCCUACAGCAAGUGGCAUAUCAUUGUUCUAGGGGUUCUCUUGAUGGCCGAACUUUGCCUCUAGCUCAUUUUCCACAGCCUAGAUUUUCCAAUCUUGCCAAUCCAGUUGACUUCUGUCUUCUCAUUUCCAAGCCAUUGUUCUCUCUCUUUCACUAUCUACAUGGAUUAUCCUUCAUUCAAACUGCUUUGUCCUGGCUGGGCGCGGUGGCUCACGCCUGUAAUCCUAGCACUUUGGGAAGCCAAGGCGGGUGGAUCACGAGGUCAGGAGAUCGAGACCAUCGUGGCUAACAUGGUGAAACCCCAUCUCUACUAAAAUUACAAAAAAUUAGCCGGGCAUGGUGGCAGGCGCCUGUAGUCCCAGCUAUUUGGGAGGCUGAGGCAGGAGAAUGGCAUGAACCCGGGAGGUGGAGCUUGCAGUGGGCGGAGAUCGCGCCACUGCACUCCAGCCUGGGCGACAGAGCAAGACUCUGAGACUCAGUCUGAAAAAAACAAACAAACAAACAAACAAAAAACUGCUUUGUCCUGUAGGAAGCCUGUGCAGGUUAUGUGCACCUCCCUCAAUCCUUACCUUGAAGCUGAGGUUUCCCCUCAGCUCUCAAGUACUCAGUUUGCACUGCAGGUAGUCCCUAUUUUAAUGAAAGUUAUACGGUCCAGCUCAGGGAAUCCUGAAAAGCUGCCCUUGCUUCCAUGGUAACCAAAAGGCAGUUCUCAUGGAAUAAAAGCUACCUGAAGCCUGAGUUGGGACCUUUGGUUGGGGAAGGACGCUGAUUAGACGCUUGGCAUGAGGUUUGCUACUGGAACUGCUAGUGUAGAAUGUUUCAGCCCCCCUAGAGUUGUCCCUGUGAUGUGGCUACCUCCUUUCUCUGGGAUUUCUCUUAAAGUCUGGGGAGCCCCUGCUUCUCAUUUCCUGGAAUUUAUCUUCCCAGUCUCCCUUUCUGGCUGAAAAUUUCUAGUAUCUUACAGAACAGUAGUGGAAUACACUGGAGCACAUCAUAUUACCACUAAGUAUGUCUAAUAAAUGAUGUCCUCUGAUUUGACAUUUCCUAAAUGUGAAGCUCCUGAUUUUAUACAAUUUUGAAAUUAGUAAGCUUGUUAGUUUUGUUUGAAAUUCUAGGCAUUGGAUACACUUAAUAUGAGGGCUACAUGUGCAUCAACAUACUCUGGUUUCCUUCCCUCUGUAUCUUUUUUUUUUUUUGAGAUGGAGUCUCACUGUCUUCUAGGCUGGAGUGCAGUGGUGUGAUCAUGGCUCACUGCAGCCCCAACCUCCUGGGCUCAGGUGAUCCUCCCACCUCAGCCACCCAAGUAGCUGGGACCACAGGUGCAUGCCACCAUGCCCAGCUAACUUAUUUUUAUAUAUUGUAGAGACGGAGUCUCCCUGUGUUGCCUAGGCUGACCUUGAACUCUUGGGCUCAGGUGAUCCUCCCACCUUGGCCUUCCAAAGUGUUGGGAUUAUAGGCGUGAGCCACCGUGUCCAGCCUUUUCCUCUGUAUCUUGUGUCCAUUCCCCAGAGCGAUACUGUGUAUCCUUGAACAGACGGUUUCUUGAAGUCAGAGUCUAUCUCCUCUGUCACUUCUCCCCCUUCAUUAUCUAAGACUGAGGUUGUAGUUUAUAUGCUUAGAGUUGAAAGCAUGGGGUCCAACGUGUUCUGUACUCUGUAGUUCCCCAAACUCUCCAGGGAAACUACUUAGCUCUCAGGUGGUUCUUUUCUGUUUUUCUCAGAGUGAGUUAUCUAAUAACUGAAGAGGACUCUGCCCUUUGGCCUGUUCCUGACCUUCUAACUCCUUUUGCUGGAGGAAGGGGAGGUUGGGGGGGAGGGGUGCCCUGUGGUGUGAAAGCCCCACUUGUCCUCUCCUCUGUACUUUCUUCCAAUGCAGACAGGAGAAAGUAUCAUAUAAAUGUAGUGACUGUGGGUCAGAGGAGCUCUGAGAGGCCAGCACAGGAAACCAGAAACAAAAUGAGUCAGUUGGUAGGUGGCAGUCAGAGGCACCCUGCUGAGGGUGCAAGGUCAAAGGUGAUGCCCCCUCAGUAGGCCCAGGAGCAUCAAAACGGGAACAGUCCCUUUGAGCUUUCAGGAGCCUCCCAAAUGUCACUUAGUGACGUCCCAUUCACCUGCUUAAAGGCCCUGCAUCCUGCCAGGUAGUUGGUUUGUCCAUAGCAACCUGAGCUCUGCUUGGGUGAGCCAGACAAAAAGAAUGAUCCCUGGCCAAAGUAGUGAUACCAGGGCCCAGACAGAGGCAGAGAGUCCGGAUAGAAGAUCCUGUAAGCUGGGGUAGGGAGCUGAGGAGGCCAUGGAGCCAGGGGAAUCAUUGAAGUGAGGGACAAUUUCUGGAGGAGGGAAACUGAGUAAGAAAGGCCUGGCCAAGGACCGAGAAGGGGACAGUAUCCUGAUCUAUGAAAGAAGACUUAAGUGGGGAUUGACAGAGCCAGAUUGGGUGGAGUCCAAGCUUUGGGCAGGUGAGUGUCCAGGAGAUGAGGGCUGAGAAUGGGCCUUCAGAGCUCAGCCAGAAGGGGAAAGCAAAAAGCUCCACCCUCCUUCACAUCCCUCCAUGCUGCUCAAAUCCCAGGUCUUCAGGCACCAUGGAGGACAAACGCAACAUCCAGAUCAUCGAGUGGGAACACCUGGACAAGAAGAAGUUCUACGUGUUUGGUGUGGCAAUGACAAUGAUGAUCCGUGUCAGCGUCUACCCAUUCACCCUCAUCCGCACCCGGUUGCAAGUUCAGAAGGGGAAGAGCCUCUACCAUGGGACCUUCGAUGCCUUCAUCAAGAUCCUGCGAGCAGAUGGUAUCACUGGCCUUUACCGAGGGUUCCUGGUCAAUACCUUCACCCUCAUCUCUGGCCAGUGUUAUGUCACCACUUAUGAGCUCACCCGGAAGUUUGUAGCUGACUACAGCCAGAGUAACACAGUCAAAUCACUGGUGGCUGGUGGCUCAGCCUCCCUUGUGGCCCAGAGCAUCACAGUGCCCAUUGAUGUAGUCUCCCAGCACCUGAUGAUGCAACGCAAGGGUGAGAAAAUGGGCCGCUUUCAGGUGCGGGGGAACCCAGAGGGACAAGGGGUAGUUGCCUUUGGCCAAACCAAGGACAUCAUCAGGCAGAUCCUGCGGGCUGAUGGACUUCGCGGCUUCUAUCGAGGCUAUGUGGCUUCACUGCUUACCUAUAUCCCAAACAGUGCUGUCUGGUGGCCCUUCUAUCACUUCUAUGCAGAGCAGCUCUCCUACCUGUGUCCUAAGGAGUGCCCUCACAUUGUCUUUCAAGCUGUCUCGGGACCCCUGGCUGCAGCCACUGCCUCCAUCCUCACCAAUCCCAUGGAUGUCAUACGAACCCGCGUGCAGGUUGAGGGCAAGAACUCCAUCAUCCUGACCUUCAGACAGCUGAUGGCAGAAGAAGGGCCUUGGGGCCUCAUGAAGGGCCUCUCAGCCAGAAUCAUCUCAGCCACACCUUCCACCAUUGUCAUUGUGGUGGGCUAUGAGAGCCUCAAGAAACUCAGCCUCCGACCUGAGCUGGUGGACUCGAGACACUGGUAACCAGUGGUGGGGAGAGAAGCCUGCUGUUUUCCAUACUACCGUGGGUCAGGGGCAGAGUGGAGAGGACAGCACCCUCUCCAGAUGCCCCCACCACACACCCAGCCCUGCCCUGGGCCAGGUGGCCUAUCUGGGAUAGGGAUAGAGAGACUUUGAACUGCUCUUGCUGAAGAGGCUCCACGCCUGGAUCCCUUGCCUCCACUAUUUAAACUUCUCUUCUGAGCUGGGCUCCCUCACUCAGUCCCUGUAUUCGAUACUGGCCUAAAGACCCCACCCCCAACCCUGCCAGCCCUUCUUCUGGCUUCCCCUUCCAUCUGUGUCCCUGAGACCCUGAGAAGAGCUGUACAUAGAGCUUGCUUACUACCACGGGUUCUUCCUCUUGGGCUUUCAGCCCAGACUCCAAGCAGCUGCUAUCAACCCUCUCUCCCUUCAUCUCUUAGCCUUGCUUAUUUUUAUUUUGGGACCGAGCUGCCCACUAGAUGACUCUGCUUUUCCCUGCAUUUGGGGCUAAGGUGCCAGGUACUUAUUUGCACAGGGAGCAGGAGCAGCAAAAAAUCUCUGGUUCUCCAGAGCACUCGUCCUCUCUUUGGAGGGGUUAUUAGGUUGGGGAGAAAUGUUGAUACUUUUGUUUUGUGUGUGUGUGUGUGUGUGUGUGUGUGUUAACAUCUGUGAACCAGGCUAUUAGUCCUGCUAAAGCGCCAAUCCUGCUGUCAGAGCUCACCCCCUUCCUAAGACAGGUAGAAAAAUGUAAUGUAGCUUUUUCCACAAUCCAGUUCCCUGUCCCUUCAGUCUCAGGAGCCCUAGGAGAGUCUAAGCUGGGGCAUCCCCUGGCCCAGAGGACUCCCGUACUGGGCAGUUCUAAGUGGAUCAGGCUGUCUUGGGUGCACUGGACUUAGAGCACUACCUUGAGAAAUCAGGUUGAGAAAGUAGUUGAUCUAGAAGGCAACAAGUGGGCAUGUGUUCCCCAGCACAUUACCCAGGCCAGCAGAGCCAAACCUAGAAGAGGGCAGUGGGGAGAUUCUCUGCCCCAGGCAGCCAUGACAUAGACAUAAAUACCCCAAUCACUCACUUACGGCAACAAGUGUUGUCUCACUAUGGUGAUCUCUAAGAUCCACAUCACUGGAUGCGUGGUCGUCCCAGUCAUGGUACCCUGUGGAGGGAUGCUGGAAGAACACAAAGAGCAGUUCAAAAAGUCACCCAAUACCAGGACCACUGCAUUUACCAGCCUGAUACUGCCAAGAUUAUCUGAUGCUCUCCUCAGGAGCUAGGAGAGGAGUGCUCCUUCUUCCCUGCCUCAUUCUCCCUACCGCUACUCUCCCCAAGCCUGUGUUGCAGGUAGAGAGGUGCAGCAAAUAGAGAAGGCAUGUCAAACCCUGCAUUUCUACCUGAGACGUGUGACCUGGAUGAUCCUCCAAACCCUAUUGGUCCCACCCCCUGGGAAAGGCCAUGGUGCCAAUUUGAAAGGUGCUAGCUACCUGAAGCCUUGAUAUUUCUUCAUGGCUGCCGCACAUUCUUCCACCUUGGCCAGAACAGGUUCUGAAAACCGCUUCUCUACCUUCACCACCACCACUGCCCAUCUUGAUCUCUUUGAGGGUUUUCCCAUUUCACUUGAUUUUAUUUUUGUUUAUCCCUUCCUGCACUUUGUCAAGAGAGUCCUCCAGGUUCUAUCCAGGAAUGUUCACAUCCAAAGGGUUGGACCCACCGAUCAUUCUGAAUCUUCCUGCCCCUCCUCACUGCUUUACCCUGAGAGCCACAAAUAUAAUGGAAGCAGUUCCCCCCACCCUCACCCCAUCUCUUUAAGCUCAUCCUAGCAAGACCUCUAGAGACUCAACUUUAGUCCUUCCCCGCCAUUGCACAGUGGGGAAGGUGUCAGUGGGGAAAGUGUCACGGACAGGAUGUAGGAUCCUGCCGCUCGCGUCUUAGUGUUUCUCCCCCAAGACUUUCCUUCUGUUUUGUUGUCUUGUGCAGUGUUUUACAGCCCCUCUUGUGUUUUUCUUUAUUUCUCGUACACACACGCAGUUUUAAGGGUGAUGUGUGUAUAAUUAAAGGGACCCUUGGCCCAUACUUUCCUAAUUCUUUAGGGACUGGGAUUGGGUUUGACUGAAAUAUGUUUUGGUGGGGAUGGGAUGGUGGACUUCCAUUCUCCCUAAACUGGAGUUUUGGUCGGUAACCAAAACUAAAAGAAACCUCUGGGAGACUGGAAACCUGAUUGGAGCAUUGAGGAACAAGGGAAAUGAAAAGGCAGACUCUCUGAACGUUUGUUGAAAUGGAUUCUUGUGAAUAUUAACAGUGAAUAUUCACUGUUGCACUGUACGAAGUCUCUGAAAUGUAAUUAAAAGUUUUUAUUGAGCCCCCG
rnacentral:sRNA from 1 species